AAUUCUGGAUCAGCAAGCGAGGGGGAAAGACCGGACCGCUACGAUCCACCCCCUCCCUGCCCCCACCGCCCAUCCUAAAGCACCUUAUAUCGCGGAAACCACUCAGCCUCCUCUUUCCUCCGAGAACACGCGGAGCAGCCCCUGAAAACGCUUUGGUCCUCUGCAGGUUUGAGCAGAGCUAGCAGCUCUUUCGCCUUUGGAUUUCUAGGGCUAUGCCUAUAUGAAAUUCUUUAUUUCAUCGAUCAUUUCGAUUUUCAUGCGAGAACUCUUCAGCCUUGCAGUUUGCAGGAUUCUAAACCAAGAAGGGGUGGAGAUUGGAGAAUGCGGUUCUGGCGUGUGGUCUGAGGGAGGGGUUAGACGGGUAAGAGCGCGCGGGAUGCGCAAAUCGCUGAGACUGCACAGAGGACAAUCUGAGGACUCGCUUUCAAGACUCCAUCUCAGGAAAUCACUUCCCUGGUCCUGACUGCAUCUUCUCACCUCCCUAAGCCAGGAUUGACUUCGGAACUUCUCUGUCGCCCCGCACAUUGCAGGGGCUUCCCGGGCUCAAAUCUAUAGGGGGAGCGCUCUGGGGUCUCCGCACAAAACCUGCUCUUGAGCCCUUUGGCUUUCUUCAAGCGAGCGCAGUCCGUCCAUCCCCCCCUGGCCCACCCAGCCGCAAGGGAUGCUGUGAAAAGAGCCGCUGCUUGCCGCCUCCGGCCUGCCGUCCAGAGGGCUCCGCCCGUAGAGGUCAACUCCCCUCAUUCUUCUUUCCAUCUUGCCCUCCCUCCGCCGAGCCCAGACUCGGAUCUCCUCCCGACUCCCGACUCCCGCCGCAGUCAGAGAGAGCACAUCUGCUGCGCUGCCCUUAAAUCUACGCCCAGAGCGGGGCUCAGACCCGAUCUCUGCUCUCCAGAGCCAGAGGAAGCUGGAGCAAGCAGUCUUUUCUCUUCGCAGUAAAAUCAUAGCCAGACCAGAUGGGCCCCAGCUCUCCCGGGACUCGGCAGGUGCUGUUGAGUUAAUUUUUCCGCAAUACAAAGAAGGAGGACCCAGCCGGCCUGGGAUUCUGAUCUUUUCCAAAAUUUCCCAACCAAAAUCGGUCUAUCAAAGGCGUAUACGUGUGUUUGUCGGACAUACAAACAUGCAUGAUUAUAUCCGCUUUUUCUGCUAGAUCUCUGGCAACAGGGGAUGAGUGACAAAGGUUUCUGCAGCAGAACACUCAUGGAGUGGUUCUUAAAGACUUGCCUUUCCUUACAAAUGUCUUAGGACGGGAUUCAGGGCGAACCAACUCAGUUAAUUGCCUUCAGUAAAAUAACACGAUUACGAAAUUAGAUCUGCACCAGAGGGGUAAUUAACUUCGAUCCAUGUCAUCAUUUGAAAACUAGAUUUAUAGACAUA
rnacentral:lncRNA from 1 species